GACGAACGUUGGCGGCGUGCUUAAUACAUGCAAGUCAACUGAAGCGCCGGUAGUAAUACUGGCGUGGAGGUGGCGCACGGGUGAGUAACACGUAGGUAAUCUGCCUUCAGGUCUGACAUAACUCCGAGAAAUCGAAGCUAAUAUCAGAUGAUGCAGCGGCUUGACAUCAAGACAGUUGUUAAAGCUUCGGCGCCUGAAGAUGAGCCUGCGCUGAUUAGCUAGUUGGCGGGGUAACGGCCCACCAAGGCUUCGAUCAGUAGCUGGUCUGAGAGGAUGAUCAGCCACACUGGAACUGAGACACGGUCCAGACUCCUACGGGAGGCAGCAGUAAGGAAUAUUGCUCAAUGGGAGAAAUCCUGAAGCAGCAACGCCGCGUGAAGGAUGAAGGGUCUUUUG
rnacentral:rRNA from 1 species